rnacentral:rRNA from 1 species
GUCAGAGGUGAAAUUCUUGGAUUUAUGAAAGAUUAACUUCUGCGAAAGCAUCUGCCAAGGAUGUUUUCAUUAAUCAAGAACGAAAGUUAGGGGAUCGAAGACGAUCAGAUACCGUCGUAGUCUUAACCAUAAACGAUGCCGACCAGCGAUUAGGAGACGUUGAAUACAAAACACCACCAUCGGUUGCGGUCGUCCUUGGCGUCUCGGUUUCGGCCGGGGCGCGGGGACGGUUUAGCCCGGUGGCACCGGUGAAUGACUCCCCUAGCAGCUUGUGAGA